rnacentral:rRNA from 1 species
AUGAGAACAGCGGCCGCGGCUGGACGCCGUGAGCUCGGGAGCAGCUCGUUGACAUGGUCCAAGCGGACUCCAGCGCAGUUGGGAACGACCAAGGCAAGGAGGAUCAAGAUCUGGAUGGCACGCCUCACCCUCGGCUACCUCUUCCACCUCCCCGUCGACUGCCACUUAUCACGGAGGAGGAAGGGAUGGAGAGAUAUGGCGGCUGCGACUGGAGCUGGCGGAUGCCAGAUAGAGGUCCACCCUGUUCCCGGCCUCCCGCGUCCCGCCCCGGUACAGGGGCAACAGCAAGGUGAAGAUCGUCAUGCCCGGGCUUGGGCUCGGUGA